rnacentral:rRNA from 1 species
GAGUUUGAUCCUGGCUCAGGACGAACGCUGGCGGCGUGCCUAACACAUGCAAGUCGAGCGAGGAAUUUCCUUCGGGGAAUUCCUAGCGGCGGACGGGUGAGUAACACGUGGGUAACCUGCCUCAUAGAGGGGGAUAGCCCUCCGAAAGGAGGAUUAAUACCGCAUAAUGUUGUUGAAUCGCAUGAUUCGAUAACCAAAGGAGCAAUCCGCUAUGAGAUGGACCCGCGGCGCAUUAGCUAGUUGGUGAGGUAAUGGCUCACCAAGGCGACGAUGCGUAGCCGACCUGAGAGGGUGAUCGGCCACAUUGGGACUGAGACACGGCCCAGACUCCUACGGGAGGCAGCAGUGGGGAAUAUUGCACAAUGGGGGAAACCCUGAUGCAGCAACGCCGCGUGAGUGAUGAAGGCCUUCGGGUUGUAAAGCUCUGUCUUCAGGGACGAUAAUGACGGUACCUGAGGAGGAAGCCACGGCUAACUACGUGCCAGCAGCCGCGGUAAUACGUAGGUGGCAAGCGUUGUCCGGAUUUACUGGGCGUAAAGGGAGCGUAGGCGGAUACUUAAGUGGGAUGUGAAAUACCCGGGCUCAACUUGGGUGCUGCAUUCCAAACUGGGUGUCUAGAGUGCAGGAGAGGAAAGUGGAAUUCCUAGUGUAGCGGUGAAAUGCGUAGAGAUUAGGAAGAACACCAGUGGCGAAGGCGACUUUCUGGACUGUAACUGACGCUGA